UGCUAAGUCUGGAUGUGGAAGCCCCUGGCUCCAACCCGGGGAUGGUUCAUUGGAACUGGGAGGACUGAGUGCAGAAGAGCAGAGUGAAUUGCCAUGCGUAGCGGUGAAAUGCGUAGAUAUAUGGAGGAACACCAGUGCCGAAGGCUGCUCUCUGGUCUGUAACUGACGCUGAGGCUCGAAAGCGUGGGGAGCGAACAGGAUUAGAUACCCUGGUAGUACCACGCCGUAAACGAUGAGUGCUAAGUGUUGGAGGGUUUCCGCCCUUCAGUGCUGCAGCAAACGCAUUAAGCACUCCGCCUGGGGAGUACGACCGCAAGGUUGAAACUCAAAGGAAUUGACGGGGGCCCGCACAAGCGGUGGAGCAUGUGGUUUAAUUCGAAGCAACGCGAAGAACCUUACCAGGUCUUGACAUCCUUUGACCACUCUAGAGAUAGAGCUUCCCCUUCGGGGGCAAAGUGACAGGUGGUGCAUGGUUGUCGUCAGCUCGUGUCGUGAGAUGUUGGGUUAAGUCCCGCAACGAGCGCAACCCUUAUUGUUAGUUGCCAUCAUUUAGUUGGGCACUCUAGCGAGACUGCCGGUGACAAACCGGAGGAAGGUGGGGAUGACGUCAAAUCAUCAUGCCCCUUAUGACCUGGGCUACACACGUGCUACAAUGGGAAGUACAACGAGUUGCGAAGUCGCGAGGCUAAGCUAAUCUCUUAAAGCUUCUCUCAGUUCGGAUUGUAGGCUGCAACUCGCCUACAUGAAGCCGGAAUCGCUAGUUAUUCCGCGGGAUAA
rnacentral:rRNA from 1 species